GGGGUUGUGGCUCAGUGGUACAGUGCUUGCCUAGCAUGCAUGAGGGAUUGGGUUCGAUCAUCAGCACCA
rnacentral:tRNA from 1 species